rnacentral:tRNA from 1 species
UAGCUUAGUUGGUAGAGCAUGGUGUUUGCAAUGCCAGGGUUGUGGGUUCGAUUCCCAC